AUUGAACGCUGGCGGCAGGCCUAACACAUGCAAGUCGAACGAGUGGCGGACGGGUGAGUAAUGUCUGGGAAACUGCCUGAUGGAGGGGGAUAACCACUGGAAACGUUAGCUAAUACCGCAUACCAUCAGAUGUGCCCAGAUGGGAUUAGCUUGUUGGUGGGGUAAGGGAGCACCAAGGCGACGAUCCCUAGCUGGUCUGAGAGGAUGAACAGCCAGACUGGAACGGAGACACGGUCCAGACGCCUACGGGAGGCAGCAGUGGGGAAUAUUGGACAAUGGGCGGAAGACUGAUGGAGCCAUGCCGCGUGUAUGAAGAAGGCCUGCGGGUUGUAAAGUACUUGCAGUGGGGAGGCGUUACCCACAGAAGAAGCACCGGCUAACUCCGUGCCAGCAGCCGCGGUAAUAC
rnacentral:rRNA from 1 species